UGAAGUGACUAUAUUAAGUACCUUUUAAAUUACUAAUAGCAUCGCCUGGCUUGAAUCUUCUUAUUAGUAUUGAGACUAUCGUGUAGAUGUUGUGAAUAACAUUGUUAAGAAAGUGUUUAAAGUUAUUUUCUUAACACUACGCGCAUAUAAAGUUAUAAUGUUUUUACGCCCUAUGUCUUUAUCUGACGUGAGUCGUAAAGAGCAUUGCAAGGUUGCCAGUGUAUUGACUCCAAUGGAGGUUGACGUCAAGGUGAUGUAACUGACUGUGGAAAGCGUGCCAAAGAGAGCGCUGAUGACUGGUUCCUAAUCAGGCUUACUUAUCAGAUCUUACCGCACUUGAAUUUUUAAUUUAAUUCCAAUAAGUUUUAAUUAAAUAUUAAUAUUA